GCGGCCGGGCUGAGCCCUGCUGAGCCCGCCCCGCCCGCCAUGGGCGACAGCGAGCGCAACAAGAAGCGGCUUCUGGAGCUGCUGCAGGCUGCGGGCCCCGGCAACGCGCACUGCGCCGACUGCGGGGCGGCGGAUCCCGACUGGGCCUCUUACAAGCUGGGAAUCUUCAUCUGUCUCCACUGCUCUGGCGUCCACCGCAACUUCCCGGACAUCAGCAAAGUUAAAUCCGUGAGACUCGACUUCUGGGACGACAGUAUUGUGGAGUUUAUGACUCACAAUGGGAACCUCCGCGUGAAGGCCAAGUUCGAAGCCAGAGUCCCAGCUUUCUACUACGUCCCCCAAGCCAAUGACUGCCUGGUGUUAAAGGAACAGUGGAUUCGAGCUAAGUAUGAGAGACAGGAGUUUAUGGCUGAUGGGAAAGCAGUCCCUCCCCCAGGUAACCGAGAAGGAAUCCUGUGGAAGCGGGGAAAGGACAAUGCACAGUUUCUGAGAAGGAGAUUUGUCCUGCUGGCAAGAGAAGGACUCCUGAAGUACUACACCAAGGAGGAGAGUAAAGGCCCUAAAGCUGUCAUCAACAUCAAGGACUUGAAUGCCACUUUCCAGACAGAGAAGAUAGGGCACCCGCACGGGCUGCAGAUCACCUACAGGAGAGAGCGCCACAUCAGGAACCUGUUUGUGUACCACGAGAGUGGGAAGGAGAUAGUGGACUGGUUCAACGCCCUCCGCGCAGCCCGUCUACAAUACUUAAAAAUGGCCUACCCCGAGCUUCCAGAGUCUGAGCUCGUGCCCUUCCUCACCAGGAACUACCUCAAACAAGGCUUCAUGGAAAAGACUGGUCCAAAGCAGAGAGAACCUUUCAAGAAAAGGUGGUUUGCCCUGGAUCCCCAGGAGCGGAGGCUGCUGUAUUACAAAAAUCCGCUGGAUGCCUUUGAGCAGGGCCAGGUUUUUAUCGGGAGCAAGGAGCAGGGGUACGAGGUCUCUGAAGACCUGCCCAAAGGCAUCCGAGGGAAUCGCUGGAAAGCCGGCAUCACCAUCCUCACCCCGGAGCGCAGAUUCAUCCUCACCUGUGCCACUGAGAAGGAGCAACGGGAAUGGCUGGAGAGUUUGCGGGAUGUCCUGUGCCGCCCCUUGACACCCCUCCAUGUACCCAAUGUGUCCCUGCACGGCUGCCCUGUCUGCUGACAGCCCUGCAGAAAGGGAGAGAUGUGCUGAGCUGGAGCAGGAAACUUCUGACCCAGGGCUUGACUUCUGGGGCACAAGGGAGAAGUUCUGUGUUUGGAAAAGUACAGACUGAGCAGCUGCAGUAACAGAGAGUGGCUGUAGCAGCAGGUGACCCAUCGGCUGGGGAGCUGGCUGGCCACCAGCCACCUACUGGAGCUCCUGGCAUAAAGGAGGAGUUCUUAUCUCUGAUCCAGUUGCCCAGCACGAGUGCCGCACAGCCAGCAGCCAGCUUGGCAGAACUCACUGCUGACACUGAAGCUGUGAUGGAUCUUCCUGCUCCUUGGCCCUUCCCUACUGCCCAGCCUCCAGAUCAGAGGACGUGGUACACAGUGAACACAUAUGUCACCCUGUCUUACAAACCAAGACUUGAAAUGUCCUGAAGGCCCAGAACCUGCUCAUCUGAAAUGGAGGCAUUGUAAUGAAAAAGCACCCACAGCAUCCUGGAAGUGGCGUUUUGAAAAAAAAAAAUUAAUCUGAAUGUAAUCAUGAGGAAAUAAUCAGGCAGAUUCACAUUAGGUAUGCUCUGCUGAACAGCCAGCUGGGACUCUUCAAAAAGGUCCAUGUGAUGAAAGGUAAAAUAGUUUGGGAACUGUUGUAGGUCUGGCAACCAGAAACCAGAUGCAAUGUAUGAUUCUUGAGUAGGUCCUGGAUUUAAAAAAAAUAGCUGUAAAGCACAUAAUUAAGAUAAUUGAAGAAAUUUGAAUAUGGAUUUAUACUAGCUAAUAGGAUUGUAAGAUUAUGGUAUUCAUGCUGUAAUGGUAUAGGAAAAUAUUCCUGUCCUUAGGAGUUACGUGCUGAAGUGAAAUGUAAUGAUGUCUAUGACUAAUUCCUAAAAGAUUCAGCAAAAACAAGUGUAUGUAUAAGUAUAUGAAUACAGUGUGUGUAUGUAUAUAUACAUAUAUAUAUAUAUAUGUAUAUAUACAUAUACAUAUAUAUAGAGAGAGAGAGAGAAAGAGAAAUACAGAUAUACAUAUAUAUAUAAAGAGAACAGUACUGUAUAAAUGUUAUCAACUGAUGAAUCUAGAUAAAGUGUAGAUGGGGUUAUUUUCCUAUUAAUACAAAUAUAUAGGUUUGAAAGUUUUUAUAUUAAAACAUUGGAGGAAAAAAAACCCAACUACUUUUCACUCUUCAAAAGCAUGUUUUUCUCUAUGAAUCCAAAUGUUCCUGGAGCCAUUUGGCACAAUGUCACAUGCCUGUAGUCCCAACUACUCAUGAGGCUGAGGCAGCAGGAUGGCAAGUUUGAGGCCAGCCUUGGACAGUUAACAAGACCCUGUCUCAAAAUAAAAAAUAAAGAGAGCUGGGGGUAUAGCUCAGGGAUAGAACUUUAGCCCAGCAUGUGUGACACCCUGGUUUCAAUCCCCAGUAGGCCAACUAACAAAAAUAAAAGUAGCCAGAGCAAUGUUACCCACCUGUAGUUCUAAGUACUUUCAAGACUGAGGUAGGAGAAUGCCUGAGUCGGAGAGUUUGAGGCCAGCCUGGGGAACAUAGUGAACCCCCCUCCCCCCCCAAGAGAUCAGGCUGGAGCUGGAGCUCAGUAGCAGAGGACUAGCCUCGCAUGUGUGAGGUACUGGGUUUGAUCCUUAGCACCACAUAAAAAUAAACAAAUAAAAUAAAAGCAUACUGCCCAUCUACAAUUAUAAAAAAAAAUAGAUAAAUAAGAAGGGGGGGGAAUCAAUGUUCCUGGUAGAGUUCCAUCUUUGUGCACAUUUGAAAGAAACAGAAGCUCAGAUAAUAUCAAAACAAUGCCUGCAUUGAUUGUCAUAGUGCUCUGGAAGGGAAAAAAAAAAAAAAAACAGAGGAGACACCGCUCCCCUGGACCACAAAAUGGAGAGCUAUCCAGGGUUGUCAGGUCCUGCCACUAACUUGAGACCACUAGCAAAUUCACUUCCCCAACUCUAUGCCUUGGUUUUUCUCUCUGAAAUGAGGAAGUUGCACUCGUUAUUGAAAUCCAGUGUAAGUCACAUGUAUUUUUGCCCACCUCACGGAUGCCAGGCUCUCUGCCUCACCCCAUGAAUAGGCAGGAAUAAAACGAUGUGCUCCCUGCUGUGGCAGAUGACAGCCUUCAGGGGGCGGCAGCCACUAACCAGGGAAUGGCAGGGAGUAGGGUGUUCAGAAAGGGGAAGGAGAGCAACCUGUGGUGGCAGGGUGGGGCAACCAGGCUUGUCCUAACUGAGGAGGAGAGGGCAGGCGCCUCCCUUUCCAGAAAGUGACACUGAAGUUGAAACUUCCCGGCUGUGUAAAGAUUAGUCAGGGGGAAGAGGGUGAGGAAAACACUUUAAGCUGAGGGAAGAAGAUGGUCAAAGGUCCCCAAGAUGUGAAAGAGAAACUGACAGGAAUCUCAAAUGGCUGAAAUGUUAGAGAAACAGAUGGACAAGUUUCCAGUUCUGUGAUUUUUUUCCUUUUAAAUCCUUUCCUCUCUUUUCAAUGGAUGUGCAGAAAUACACGAGGUAUUUUUUCUUCAAUGGAGACCCAGAGGGUUGAGAGGGUCUUUAAGAGAUUCUCUACAGUUACUGGGACUUUUCUUUGGAUCCCCGGAGGACAAGCAACACAUUGGGGUGUCUCUUUCCUGAAGCUUUGUGACUACCUGGAUAGGGAGGUGGGUCCUCUCUGCAUCACCUGUCACACCUUGGAAAUGUCUGUUUCAACUCCUGCUGGGCUGUGUGGUAGGGGCCAGUUCACUUGUCUCCCUUUACCACCACCUAUGAACUGUGUUGGGCACCCUACUAAGAUCUGGAGAUGAGGACAUCAAUGAAAGGUGCAAUCUUGCCCUCAAGGGAAACCAGAGGGGAAGGAAGAAAAGUCAGCAGACAGCAACAACCCUGCUCCACUAUUCUGGGAGGGAAGCCAGGCUUCUGAGUGUGGGAGAGGGGCCCAAGGACAGGCACAAGAGGUCAAACCCCAGUGACCUAGUUGGGUCUCUAUCUUUGGGUUCCCUGACGAUACCUUUGUACUCUUGCCUUAAAUCCCCCUUUUUCCAUCUUGACUUGUUAGUGCAAGGAAGUUUCAAUUGUUUGAAUCAAUCCCAACUGAAAAUUCUCCCAAAGAGGUGAUAUCUAUGCUGAAUCCUAAAGAAUGAGUAGAAGAUCCUUGGGUUAGGGUGGGGGAAACAGAGAAAGAUGCAUGUACAAAAAGGCCCCAAGACAAGAGAGGCCUGUUCUGGAAAUUUCAAAUAAUUAAGUAUGUCUACAGAACCAGAUUGUUGGGGUGAGGAGGAGUAAGAAAAGAUGAAAUUGUAGGAGGGUUUGCUUUCAAUAAUGUUGGAGCAACUCAUAUCACAACAAUCAUCUGACAGAUAUCAAUUAUAGGCGCUGGACAGACUAUAUCAAAACAAAUGCCUGAAAGCACUGGGAAAUGACCCAAAGCAGGCAGGAACCAGAAAGGAGUUGGCACUAAAAAGCAGGGAAUGGCACGGAUAAAUGUCUCAUUUUUUUCAGUUUUCAUCAGAGGACAGGCCCAGGUUAGUGCCUCAGGGAGUUACCCAAACUCUGAUGGAAACAUACAGUCUUCCUUCCUGAAAAACAGAGAACAGUGAAGUAAACACAGCAAUUGGAAAGUGAAAGGAGAAAAUCUGGGAGAAGAGAGCCACAGAGGAGGAGCCCUGAGUUUUCCAUAUAAACUGCCCGAUCUCUGGAGAAAUGUAGCAGAAUCCAAAAGGUCUAUGAAGUAUCUUUCUCAAUAUCAGGAUAUAAUGCCAAAUUACUAGAUAACUGUGUGCUAAUCAGUUUUGUUACCAUAACAAAAUACCUGAGUUAAACAGCUUACAAAGAGAAAUGGUUUAUUUUAUCAGAGUUUUUAUCACAGUUUUGGAGACUCCAGUCUAUGAUCAGUUGGCCCUGUUGCUUUGGGCCAGUGAUGAGAAGGGGCUGGGGUCCCAUAGUCCUCUUUGGAGGCAUGUACCCAGUGACCUAAGGACUUCCCACAAGUCCUCACCUUGCAAAAGCCCCACCACCUCCCAUGAGUGCCACUCUGGAAACCAAGCCUUUAAAACAUGGGCCUUGGGGGGACUUUCAACAUGCAAAUUAUAGACAUAUGUACUGAAAUGAAUGUAUGAAUAUGAAACCAGAAAAUGUGAAUGAUAUUUGUAUUCUCCAGAGAAACAGAAACAGUAGGAAAUACAUAGAUAUAUAGAAAGAGAUUUAUUAUGAGAGACUUGAUUAUGGAUUAUGGAGGCUGAAAAGUUCGGUGAUCGCUAUCUGCAAACAGAGGCCCAGGAAAAUCAGUAGUGAAGUUCUAGUCCAAAAGUGCCAAUGUCUGAGGGAAGGAGAAGGAUGGCCCAGCACAAGCAGAGAGUAGAAUUUACCUUUUGUUCACCUUAUUGUUUAUUUAGGUCCUCAACAGAUUGGAGGAUGCCUACACAUGUUGGUAGGGCAAUCUUCUUUACUCAGUCUACCGAUUAAAAUGAGAACUUCUUAGUUGGGUGCAGGUGACACACGCCUAUAAUCCCAGAGGCUUGGGAGGCCAAGGCAGGAGGAUUACAAAAUUUCAAGCCUCACUUGUUGCAAUUUAGAGGGACCCUGUCUCAAAAUAAAAAAUAAAGGGUUGAGGAUGUGGCUCAGUGGGAGAGCACCCCUGGGUUCAAUCCCCAGUAUUAAAAACAAACCCCAAAAAAUGUAAAAAAUAGUUUUAAAAGAAAUAUAAAAGAUUGCCUAUUUAAAGCAAAAAUUACAAAUGUUUUGCUUUGUAGCAUCUAUAGAGAUAACAUAUAUAACAACUGGAGCUUAAAGACUGGGCCAACUGAUCAUGGACUGGAAUCUGCAAAACUGUGAUAAAAACUCUGAUAAAAAAAUAUAAACAUUUUUCUCUUUGUAAGCUGAUUAUCUCAGGUAUUUUGUUAUGGUGAUGAAACUGAUUAGCACACCUUUGUAUAGUAAAUUUUACAAUAAGUGGCAUACAAAAUCAACUCUAAAUUGACUGUGAAAAGUCAAUGAUGUAUAUUGUAAUUUUUUUCUUUCUUUUUCAAAAGAAAAGAAUUAUAGGGUUGGGGUUGUGGCUCAGUGGUAGCGUGCUUGCCUGGCAUGUAUGAGGCACUGGGUUCGAUUCUCAGCACCACAUAUAAACAAAUAAAUGAAUAAAGGCCCAUCAAUAAGUAAUAAAAAAAUCUUUAAAAAAAGAAAAGAAUUAUAAUAUACAUCUCUCCACCCACCCACUCCAGGCUGGUCUCCAGGUCCCCGACUCAGACAAUUCUCCUACCUAAUCAGGUCCUGGGGAUUGAACCUAGGACCUCUUGCAUGCUAGGUCAGCACCCUGCCUCAGCCCUUUUUGUUUUUUAUUUUGAGACAAUCUCCCUAAAUUGCUGAGGCUGACCUCAAACUUGAGAUCUUUCUGCCUCAGGCUCCUGAGUAUCUGGGAUUACAGGUGUAUGUUCCCACACCCUUUCCAUUCUCAUCCCUACUCCUUUUAAAAUUGUGUGGUUUGUUUUCUUAUUGUUAAAUUCUUCAUAUACUCUGAAUACCAGUCCUUUGAUAGACAAAUUGGCAAAUAUUUUCCCCCAGUCUGUGGUUUUUCACUUCCUGUCUCACUCUCUCUCCCUCUCUUUUUUUUUUUUUUUUUUUUUUUGCUACUGGGAUCAAACCCAGAGCUUUGUGUAUGCUAGGCAAAUUUGCUCUCAGCCCAAAUUUUUCAGUCCCUUGACUGGGUUAAUGGAAUCUUCUUUCAUCAAGACACUGAGGUCACAGUUCAUUACUUUCUUUGUUUUAUGAAGAUCUUUGUACAGCAUUAAAAAUAGGGUAUUUGUUGGGUGCAUGGUGCAAACCGGUAGUCCCGGGAGGCUGAGGCAGGAGGAUCAUGAGUUCAAAGCCAGCCUCAGGAAUUUAGGGAGGCCAAGCAACUCAGUGAGACCCUGUCUGUAAAUAAAAUACAAAAAGGGUUGGGGAUGUGGUUCAGUGGCUAAGUGCUCCUGAGUUCAAAAGGGUAUUUUGGCUUGUGUUUGGAUGUUUGUAUUCAUUUAUUAUAAGUGGAGUGGGAAUAAGGACUAUGACAAUGUAUAACAUGCUUAAUAAACUCUCCCUUCCCUUGACCACAAAACAAAAACACACAAACAAAAACUUUGUCUCCAAAAACAUCUACCAAAGCAAACUCUGGUAGACCACAUUGGUGACAGUUAUACCUUUUUUUACCCAGCACACAAACUCAAGGACCUUGUUACUUCUUACUCACUUGGCAUUGGAACAAAGUAUUGCCUGGCAUGGUGGCUCAAACUCUCAGGAGGCUGAGGCUGGAGGACUGUUUGAGUUCAGGAGUUAGAGAACAGCCUGGGCAACAUACUGAGAACUUCUCUCAAAAAUAGAGUAUACAGGGGCUUAGGUUGUGGCUCAGUGGUAGAGCGCUUGCCUGGCAUGUGUGUGUCAGGAGCUGCCAUGUGGGAAUCGAGCGCCCCCUAGCUUUGAGUGAUGAGAGUGUAGAGUUGUGGCAAGUCAGCCAUGGGCUGUGUGUGUGAACUAUGAGCACUAAGCACACAGGGUGGACUGAACGGAUGUUGCUCCUCUGUUUGGGCGGGCAAUAUUAGCAUCUUUUCCUUCUCUCUAUGAUCCCCACACAGGGCAAGAUGGGCGUGGGCUUCCUAGAUGUCAGUCAACCUGCUGACAGCAAAACUUCACAAAGCUAGACUCAACCCCCUGAAACCUUGCCUCAUUUGAAUGGCUUCUCCCCAAUAAAAGGGUUCAGCACUCAUGCUCCUUGCUCUCUUCCUUGCUUGCCUUGCCCCCCCAUGGGUGCUGCAGCUGAGGAACCAUCAAUGAACCCCCAAAAAUGUACUUUCUGUGUCUGUGUAUUCAUUUAUUUCCCAAAUUCACUUGGAGUGACCCUGACUGGUUUAGUCGUGGGACAAAACAUGUGAGGCACUGGAUUUGAUUCUAAGCACAGCAUAUAAAUAAAUCAAAUAAAGGUCCACCAACAACUAAUAAAAAUAUUUUAAAAAAUAAAGUAUACAAUUCAAUUGUCUUGAAAAAACCACCACCACCACCAACAACAACAACAAACAGUGUCAUAGAAAUGUGUGUUGAGCUGGGGAUGUGGCUCAAGCGGUAGCGCGCUCGCCUGGCAUGCGUGGGCCCGGGUUUGAUCCUCAGCACCACAUACAAACAAAGAUGUUGUGUCCGCCGAAAACUAAAAAAUAAAUAUUAAAAUUCUCUCUCUCUCUCUCUUUAAAAAAAAUGUGUGUUGACAAAUUUGUUUGAACUGACAGCAAAUGAGUCUGAUUUAACUGACUGGUUUUACAGUAAGGACUAGCUUUGCCAGUUGGAUUAUGUGGCAUAUAUUCUACAUAAAUCCAUUGAUUUCAUUCUACAGGUCCAAUCUUUUGAAGAAUAUUUCAGGUAUAUAAGAUAAAAGUACCCCCCCCCAAAAAAAAGAAAGAAAAAGAAAAAAGGAAGAAAGAAAGAAAAAAGGUUAUUAGAUCAACAAAGACAUAUUGAAAAGUAUUCUAAUUUUUCUAGCCCUUUCUGAAUACAUCAGGGUGUUUCUAAGUCAAAGUGUAAUUGAUUGUAAUUGCCAGUCACUUGACAAACCUAAGCAGAGUCUUUUUGGCCUACAUCCCAGAAAAUAAGAAAGUGAAUACUUCCAAUGACUUGUAUAACACAGAUGAUUUCAAAUGUCUGUUUUCGACAAAAAUAAAGAGAAAAAAAAUCGAA